rnacentral:rRNA from 1 species
AGGCCUUCGGGUCGUAAAGUUCUGUUGUUAGAGAAGAACAAGUACGAGAGUAACUGCUCGUACCUUGACGGUACCUAACCAGAAAGCCACGGCUAACUACGUGCCAGCAGCCGCGGUAAUACGUAGGUGGCAAGCGUUGUCCGGAAUUAUUGGGCGUAAAGCGCGCGCAGGCGGUUCCUUAAGUCUGAUGUGAAAGCCCACGGCUCAACCGUGGAGGGUCAUUGGAAACUGGGGAACUUGAGUGCAGAAGAGGAAAGCGGAAUUCCACGUGUAGCGGUGAAAUGCGUAGAGAUGUGGAGGAACACCAGUGGCGAAGGCGGCUUUCUGGUCUGUAACUGACGCUGAGGCGCGAAAGCGUGAGGAGCAAACAGGAUUAGAUACCCUGGUAGUCCACGCCGUAAACGAUGAGUGCUAAGUGUUAGGGGGUUUCCGCCCCUUAGUGCUGCAGCUAACGCAUUAAGCACUCCGCCUGGGGAGUACGGCCGCAAGGCUGAAACUCAAAGGAAUUGACGGGGGCCCGCACAAGCGGUGGAGCAUGUGGUUUAGUUCGACGCAACGCGAAGAACCUUACCUGGGUUUAAAUUGCGGUGGACAACUCCAGAGAUGGAGUUUCCCUUCGGGGCUGCCGUGAAGGUGCUGCAUGGCUGUCGUCAGCUCGUGUCGUGAGAUGUUGGGUUAAGUCCCGCAACGAGCGCAACCCUUGUCUUUAGUAGCCAGCAU